rnacentral:rRNA from 1 species
UACGGAGGAUCCUAGUGUUAUCCGGAUUUAUUGGGUUUAAAGGGUGCGCAGGCGGAAUAUUAAGUCGGCGGUGAAAGUUUGCAGCUUAACUGUAAAAUUGCCGUUGAUACUGGUAUUCUUGAGUGUAUAUGAAGUAGGCGGAAUUUGUAGUGUAGCGGUGAAAUGCAUAGAUAUUACAAGGAACUCCGAUUGCGAAGGCAGCUUACUAAAAUACAACUGACGCUUAGGCACGAAGGCGUGGGGAUCAAACAGGAUUAGAUACCCCCGUAGUCCCUGA